rnacentral:lncRNA from 1 species
UCUUUUUUUUUCUCCUUUUUCUUUUUCUCUUUUUUUUCUCUUUUCCCACAAUUCUGAUACAAUUGUUCAUCAAACACUGGCGUUUCCAGCAGCAAUUCUUGGGGUUUUUUUCCUUUUUUUUUGUUUUUUUUUUCCUUUUUUAAAGUGAAUAAUAAUACACGGUAGUGAUUUCACAGUAAAACAGACCUGCGGGAACGCCGGAUAUACGUGACAAAAGACACCCCCAGACCAGCCCCUUCCCCCCCCACCCCCUGAAAGGAGACCUUGGAAGUGGGGAGGGGAAAAUAAAAAGUUCAUUCCAAAAAAUUAUUUCGAAAGAGAUUUCAUAUAAAGCCUUUAAAACGCGUCAGAAUUCCUCCCUCCUCUCCAGAUCCCUGUCCCUGGGGCUGCACACGUGAGAGAAAGAGAGAGAAUGGAGAGUUUAUAACAAUCUCUGUAGGAGAAACAAAACCAUCCAGAAAGAAAAUAGCCAAGAAUAUGGAAGGGAUAAAAUUACAUUUGUACAAAAAUAGAUUUUAACUUUAUUGAUGCUUUAGAUAUUUUUCCUUAUCUUUUCUUUCUUUCAUUCUAAAUGUUCAUGUAUUUUAUUUGUUAUCUAUGCAUCCCAUAGCCAAGGCAUCCGUCGCUAAGUACUGGGAAUCGCUAAAGCCAGUCUUAAACCCACCUGCUGCUCAAAACACAAACACAAACAAGGAAACAAAACAAAAAGGCAUCUUAAAAUAGAUGCAGUUCCUUUGCCACGAGGAAUAAAGAUCCAGAUUGGCAUCAGCCAAUUCGGAGAGGGCUGCGGAUACGAUGUACUCUCACUUACAUGAAGCAAAAAAACCCCCAAACAAACAAAAAAGCAAGGAAAAAAAAAACAGGAAAAUGGACUUAAAACAAGAAACCACGAGAAGUCUGUAAUUGCUACAGUUAUAAUAUAUGUAUAUGUGAGUGAGGCUAUUUAUACAGUGUAUAUAUCUACAGUACAUACAUGUAUACACACGCACAUACGUGUCAGCUGAAGCCAGCCCAUGCUCGCCCAGCACUGAUGGGGCCAGCACCAGCUCCUGAGCCGCGGUCCCGUGUCUCGGGCCCAGCGUGGGUGCUGUGCGGGCUGGGGCUCCCUGCACCCACGGGUGCUGGGGGGAUGCUCAGGAGGCCUCAGCACCCGCAGGGGGUGGCCCCGGGACUCGCUGGUUUGGGGUUCGGGCUCGGCUGAGACCGUGCACACACACAAGAAGGCAGCGAGGAGCAUCCAGGGUGCCAGGCGGUGGCUGCGGGGCUGGUCUUUGAGCUAUCUUUUAGAAAAUUAAAGAUUGUCCCACCAACGAGAAGGAAUUACAAAAAUAAUAAUUCAGCAAUAGAUCACCCCAAUCAAACCAGAUUUUUGCAGGAGAUCUGGUUAAAUCACAGUCCUACCUCCCUAGUGAAUAAUGUGCCUCUUUUAACCACAUAUCACCUCCUCAAGCAAGCCUGGAGAAUAUCGAUCAUUAAUAAGAUGAGGACAAACAAAAA